rnacentral:rRNA from 1 species
UGAGGAAUAUUUGUCAAUGGGCGAGAGCCUGAACCAGCCAAGUAGCGUGCAGGAUGACGGCCCUAUUGGUUGUAAACUGCUUUUAUGUGGGGAUAAAGUGCGUGACGUGUCAUGCAUUGCAGGUACCACAUGAAUAAGGACCGGCUAAUUCCGUGCCAGCAGCCGCGGUAAUACGGAAGGUCCGGGCGUUAUCCGGAUUUAUUGGGUUUAAAGGGAGCGUAGGCUGUCUAUUAAGCGUGUUGUGAAAUUUACCGGCUCAACCGGUGGCUUGCAGCGCGAACUGGUCGACUUGAGUAUGCAGGAAGUAGGCGGAAUUCAUGGUGUAGCGGUGAAAUGCUUAGAUAUCAUGACGAACUCCGAUUGCGCAGGCAGCUUACUGUAGCAUAACUGACGCUGAUGCUCGAAAGUGCGGGUAUCAAACAGG